UACGGAGGGGGCUAGCGUUAUUCGGAAUUACUGGGCGUAAAGCGCACGUAGGCGGGUUGUUAAGUCGGGGGUGAAAUCCUGGAGCUCAACUCCAGAACUGCCUUCGAAACUGACGAUCUUGAGUUCGGGAGAGGUGAGUGGAACUGCGAGUGUAGAGGUGAAAUUCGUAGAUAUUCGCAAGAACACCAGUGGCGAAGGCGGCUCACUGGCCCGAUACUGACGCUGAGGUGCGAAAGCGUGGGGAGCAAACAGG
rnacentral:rRNA from 1 species